AGUGGCGGACGGGUGAGUAACGCGUGAGAAUCUACCUUCAGGACGGGGACAACAGCUGGAAACGGCUGCUAAUACCCGAUAUGCCGAAAGGUGAAAAGUUUUUUCGCCUGGAGAGGAGCUCGCGUCCGAUUAGCUAGUUGGUGAGGUAAAAGCUUACCAAGGCGACGAUCGGUAGCUGGUCUGAGAGGAUGAGCAGCCACACUGGAACUGAGACACGGUCCAGACUCCUACGGGAGGCAGCAGUGGGGAAUUUUCCGCAAUGGGCGAAAGCCUGACGGAGCAACGCCGCGUGGGGGACAAGGUUUUUGGAUUGUAAACCCCUUUUCUCAAGGAAGAACAAAAUGACGGUACUUGAGGAAUCAGCCUCGGCUAACUCCGUGCCAGCAGCCGCGGUAAUACGGAGGAGGCAAGCGUUAUCCGGAAUUAUUGGGCGUAAAGCGUUCGUAGGCGGCUGUUCAAGUCUGCUGUCAAAGACCGAGGCUCAACCUCGGGUAGGCAGUGGAAACUGGAUAGCUAGAGGUCGGUAGGGGCAGAGGGAAUUCCCAGUGUAGCGGUGAAAUGCGUAGAUAUUGGGAAGAACACCGGUGGCCAAAGCGCUCUGCUGGGCCGAACCUGACGCUGAGGGACGAAAGCUAGGGGAGCGAAUGGGAUUAGAUACCCC
rnacentral:rRNA from 1 species